rnacentral:rRNA from 1 species
CCUACGGGGGGCAGCAGUGGGGAAUAUUGCACAAUGGGGGAAACCCUGAUGCAGCGACGCCGCGUGAAGGAAGAAGUAUUUCGGUAUGUAAACUUCUAUCAGCAGGGAAGAAAAUGACGGUACCUGACUAAGAAGCCCCGGCUAACUACGUGCCAGCAGCCGCGGUAAUACGUAGGGGGCAAGCGUUAUCCGGAUUUACUGGGUGUAAAGGGAGCGUAGGCGGUUUAGCAAGUCAGAAGUGAAAGCCCGGGGCUCAACUCCGGGACUGCUUUUGAAACUGUUGAACUAGAGUGCAGGAGAGGUAAGUGGAAUUCCUAGUGUAGCGGUGAAAUGCGUAGAUAUUAGGAGGAACACCAGUGGCGAAGGCGGCUUACUGGACUGUAAAUGACGCUGAGGCUCGAAAGCGUGGGGAGCAAACAGGAUUAGAUACCCGAGUAGUC